AUUGAACGCUGGCGGCAGGCCUAACACAUGCAAGUCGAACGGUAGCACAGAGGAGCUUGCUCCUUGGGUGACGAGUGGCGGACGGGUGAGUAAUGUCUGGGAAACUGCCCGAUGGAGGGGGAUAACUACUGGAAACGGUAGCUAAUACCGCAUAACGUCGCAAGACCAAAGAGGGGGACCUUCGGGCCUCUUGCCAUCGGAUGUGCCCAGAUGGGAUUAGCUAGUAGGUGGGGUAACGGCUCACCUAGGCGACGAUCCCUAGCUGGUCUGAGAGGAUGACCAGCCACACUGGAACUGAGACACGGUCCAGACUCCUACGGGAGGCAGCAGUGGGGAAUAUUGCACAAUGGGCGCAAGCCUGAUGCAGCCAUGCCGCGUGUAUGAAGAAGGCCUUCGGGUUGUAAAGUACUUUCAGCGAGGAGGAAGGCGUUGUGGUUAAUAACCGCAACGAUUGACGUUACUCGCAGAAGAAGCACCGGCUA
rnacentral:rRNA from 1 species